rnacentral:ncRNA from 1 species
CUUUGACCAGAGACGAAGAAAAGUAAGAAACUUUUUCCAUUAUAGAGAGUUGGACCCUUAGGCUGGAAGGUCCAUGAAUGUGAUGGUUUCCGAAAGACACUUCAGAGGUUUUCUGUUGAAAGCUUUCUAUUAGAGAGCUGUGUAAACAGAAACGUAUUACCGGCGUUAACGGAAUUCAAGUGAGGAUCAAACAGGAUCCUAAUUAGGGUGGUACCACGGGUGUAUAGUCAAACUCUCGUCCCUUGU